AUGACAAAGAAAAUAUGUAAAUUUAGAACUCACAUUGGCCUCUCCUAAAUUACAAGAAUUAAAUCUGGGGAAAUUAAUGUGUGUAUAAGUGACAGUUUGCGGAGGGCACCGUAAUGAUUAAAGUCAAAUGUGCUUUUUAGCAGCAGCUUAGAAAAUCGUAAAAAGAUUUAUGCACCAUAAGCUAACUUCGCAAGAUUGGCAGCGGACUCGACACCCGAAAUAGGGGUUUGGACGAAUUUGGAUAUUUCGGUGCCCAGAAAGGGAUACAAACUGAAACCUAAUUAAUUGAUCGGCUCCUACUGACAGCACCUAAUUAGACAUUGCUCCAACUCAGUUACUAGUCACUUGUCUUCGCAAGCAUCUGUAGCGCAGAUGUGAAACGAGCGGGUGUGUAUGUCAUUUCGGGGUAGAAAUGGAACUUUGUGGGGACAAUGCGGGCGGUUAUAAGAGGAUUCAGCCCGUGGGCAGCAGUACACCCAGGAAACCGAAGUUGAUCCUUACUGCCAGUGACACCCUCCUGAGCGUUUCUGCAGUAGGGAGAUUAAGCGUCACAACUGCAAAUCAUUGACAAGUCAACUGGUUCAUGGAAUCAAGAGCCCAGGCUCUGCAUAGUCAGCAAAAGCAGCCAGUCCUCCGGCGUAUAACGGGCCAGGCUCGCAUGGGGGAGUGCGCACCUACAGGAGAACCACUGUGAGCAGAGCCAGGUCUUAGACGACUCUUAGAGGGGAGCUCAGAAAGGAGUUGCAAUCAAAAUCCCGCAGAGCCAGAAAAAUCCCAAAGAGUAAACAUCUGGGGCAAGGUCAAGAAGGGAGUAGCAGCUCCCCCCUCCUGUAACAGUUCUCACUCCGAAGUGUCUCACGCACAAUGGCCCUAGUGCAAGCAGCACUGUUCGGACUCCAGUCUGAGAAGUAAGCCCGAGAAAGAGAGAAGAGACACCUGCGAUCGGUGAAGUUACGGUCAGUCUCCGCUGCUGCAGUCACUUCAGUAUCACGCAGCUAACAAGUUGCCAUCCACAAACUCCUGGAAGUACCAACUAUCAGCCCCAAAAUCUUACACACCAGUUGAACUUUGUAAGGCGCUUUGUGGGGCGGGUGGCGGGAGGGAGAGAAGGGGACUGAGCAGUAUGCUCUUCGGUAAGAUGAAAAUGGACUCUUACAGAUUCAGCACAGCCCUGGAAUCGCCUGUGAUCCUGUUUUUACACAGGGUGUCUGGAAAGCCUUUUCAGGCAUCUGGUUUUAUGGUAGCUUUUAUGUGAGCACUGCCUUUGGUAAGUAGGCACCCAGAGAGCCAUUCGGCGCUAGUGGGUUGUAAAAUGCAGAAACGAUUUCUGUAUAGUGAUUUGCUCUGUGGUUUCAAAGCAAACGAUUUACAAAAGCGAUGCCACCCCUUUUCCCUCCAGUGGUUUUCAAUAAAAAGGGGUACGGGUAUUGAAAGAUUGUAGGGUUCAAGUUUAGAGAAAAAGCCACUUACUCUGACUCAGACACCAAUGUAUAUAGUUAAUUCAUGGAGAAAGGUUUUUCUUUUCCUAGAUUUUUUUAAAGUACAUUCCAGUACUUUACAUUGACAAAGUUGAAUGAACUUAGAAAAGAUUCGUUUCUCAGAGAAACUGAACUUUCCGUGACCCUCCGAGUGUAACUAAUUUAGCAUGCAAUUGACAAUUAAAAACAAACAAACUAACUAA